rnacentral:rRNA from 1 species
UACGUAGGGUGCAAGCGUUAUUCGGAAUUACUGGGCGUAAAGCGUGCGCAGGCGGUUAUGUAAGACAGAUGUGAAAUGCCCGGGCUUAACCUGGGAACUGCAUUUGUGACUGCAUGGCUAGAGUUUGGCAGAGGGGGGUAGAAUUCCACGUGUAGCAGUGAAAUGCGUAGAUAUGUGGAGGAACACCGAUGGCGAAGGCAGCCCCCUGGGUCAAGACUGACGCUCAUGCACGAAAGCGUGGGGAGCAAACAGG